UACUUUUCACUUAGCUACUUUUAUUUUAUAUUAUUCUCUUUAUUAAAUAAUAAAUCAGUAUUGUAUUCAGACUGAUCAAUUAGUUAUUUAGAAAUUUGUGCGCGGUUAUAUUUUGUGUUUUUGGCGUUACACUACCUUCUUGAAUACAUUUUAUAAACAAAGUUUGAUUUCUAAUUAAAUAUUACUUGUUAUUCUUACAUUAUUUUUUGUUUUAACUUUAGGUAGAAGUAAAGGUACGAAGCUACAGUAGCGACUCAGUAUAGAAUAUAAUUAAAUAAAUUAUUCUGAAUGUCUCGAUUCGUGGCCGAGGUGCCGGAGGUUCUGGUAAAACCAGGCAAGAUGAUCAGCCUCUCGUCUUCUAAGAUGAAAGCGUUACUGGUAGCAGUUGUUAUUGUGCUGUAUGUGUAUCUAUUGAUUUAUUUCAAAACCAUAUACUUGAGAACAAAAAGACUGGAUGAGAUAAUGGCUGUGGCAUUGAAGACUGAAAGAGAUUUGCUGAAUGUUGAAGCACUAGACAAAAAACUAGCGAUGCAGAUGACACGUGUUGACCAGCUGUAUGAAGACUACUAGACUGUGCGGACAGCACCUUGUGCCUACCAGAUGAUAACUCACAACUAAUUUUGUUAUUUCUUCAAUCCUCCAGGUAUUAUCUUUAAGGGUUGCAGCGGGGCGGUGCCAGUCAGCCGUCUUUGUGUCCUCUAUUCCGGCGAUGGCUGCAAUGAGCAAACUACACGAAGUGGCCACUUGUAAUUGUUAUGGAGUUCGUAAACGAGCGCCAAGUCAAGGUAUGAACGACUUCAGUACGUCAGUAGGUAGGCAGACUACUUUAACUUUAUGAAUAAUAUCACCUUUUGUUAAGACACCAAGGUCUCGCUCUGUACCUAUAUUCUCGACAUUUCAACUUAAUUUCUGCUGACUAGCAUUUGCAUUUCUUUUUGCAAAAGUAAUGAUAGAUAUACCUACUUAUCGAUAAAACUACUCGUGAGUAGUCGACCACUCGGCUGAAUUGUAAUUGACGUUAUAACCACGGUUGUAUAAUACUCGUGUCGUGGUAUACCUUGUGGGUGUGUCGACAACGAGAAAGCAUUUUGUCAUUUAUAUACAGUAAAUGUUGAAUGGUUGAUGCCUCUGAUGUGUCUAAUUACAGGCUAAUGUCAUUGGCUACAAUAGUCGCCAACGUGACGGACAGCUUGCUAGACAAACAGUUGAACACAUUGAUCUCCAUGACAAUUUAGGGUCAAACCCGGCCUAUCCACGGAGAGUGCCGUUCUGUGCCUCAAGCAAACUCUUCAAUACUAUACAUAGAGAAAGACUGUAUUUGCUUAUUUUUUGGAACUGGCAAAGGUUGGACCUGGUGACCGAUGAGGCGCUGUGGAAUACAAUGAAACAAUGUGUUCGAGAAUGAAACAAAAGUACCACACCUGGUUAAAUCCUCGUUUCGUUACUGGUGCGGUAACCGGAAAAAUAGUGUAACGUGGGCGGAAGCUCAAUCAGGAGGAAUACGAGCUGGAGUACGGGGUUAAGGAGCCGCCGCCUUCACUUGUACAUGGAGCAGCUGGUCGGCGGGCGCGGCAGUGCCGGAGUCGGCUGCCAUGUCGAUGGCGUUUCAUGAAGGGUGUUAGCCACGCGGAUGACAUGGUGCUGCUGAGCCCCUCGAUCAGUGCCCCGAGGACAAUUGUAGCGACGUGUGAGUACUACGUAGUGCCCGUGUGUUCAGAUAUAAAGUCAAAAAGAAUAAACUUGUUAUGUGUAAAGCGGGCGCCAUCAAAUAUUCCCCUGGUUUCUUGCCUGGUGGCACUUGUCUGAAUUGGGUGACUAAGUUUAAGUACUUGGAUCACUGAGGAUCUUAAAGACAAUGUGGAUAUAGAGAUAGAGAGGGCAUGCAGGUCGCUGGCUGUACGAUGUAAUAUGGUGGUUCGAAGAUUUGCACGUGGUUCAAGACCAGUAAAGUUAGUUGUUACUCUUUUAAAGUUUUUCUUCUUUCUUUCAACAUAUCAACAAAUCUUUCAACACUUGCAAUCUUUGGACCAAUAAUUUAGCGCAGACGGCAUACGUUCAGGAAACUGUUGAGACACGCGUGGCGACGUGGCGACGUGGCGACGUAGUCCGCUAUGUUUGCGGAGCCGCACACGGAUGAGUCUUACGCCAGCACGAGGAAAAUGAGCGGGAGGCUGCGCGCCGCCGCAAACAGUGUCCCGAGCGUAUCCAAAGACCGAUGGGAUUGCACUCUGCUGCGCCACUGGGUGAAAAUUCACACGUUCUUGUAAAUAAAUUACUAACACUAGUUUAAGUUGAUUUGUAUGUCUCAUAUCGUAGAGCAGGAGCUGCCAUGCGCGCAUGCGCCGUUAUGUAGCGAUAUGAGUCGUUACUUACCGACACUACUCUCAGCUACUUAGGAUAGGGUUUAUAUGUAGGUUAGAAGCAUGAAGCAAGUACAAAGAAGUGAAACCAUAACGAGAUUGUGCACUGUGACACAAAAUAACGUGGAGUUUGUUUGUUUGAAUGCGCCAAUCUCCGUAACUACUGGUCCGAUUUGAUAAAAUAUUUUUGCGUUGGAUAGUCCAUUUAUAGAGGAAGGCUAUAUAGUUUCACGCUACGAUCAAUAGAAGCCGAGCAGAGCGGGUGAAUAUGCGCGGAAGUAACUGGUGACAUUAAAAGUAAAAAAGUGUAAUCUAAAUAUGUUAUAAGCGUUCAGAACGUGUCACACACAACUGGCAACGCUUUUGUGGUAUGGAACCGCUAGAAGUAAAAUACAGAGGGGCGUGGUUUGUAACGUCCCGCCCUCCCCGUGAGUUGUCACGCAUUAUUAAGGGAAAUUAUAAAAAACAUCCCGUAAAAAAUACCAAGUCUCGUACCUCAUCAGUUUUUCUACCAUAAAAAGUUGUGAGAUCCAUGUAAUACCAAGUCGGUUAUUUUAUUUAGGACCUUCUGUCUUAAGUUAUUAUGUAAAUUGUAAUCACAUUAAUUUUACGUUUUAAAUAAAAGAAAUUGAAUUGGUCUCCGCACGUAGGUAAUCAUGCAAUAGACUAAACAAUACAUGUAAUACGAGAAUGAAAACACAAGUAGGUAUAGUCUUCGGCACGUAACUUGGCAUUUUUUUUUAUAAUAAGAAAGUUCCGCCAAUCGCACAGGGAUUGAUCCUCACAAGCAUCGUGCGCAGGCGCGGGGACGUUGCGUUGACUAUUGAAGAAAAUGAUUAGGUACAAAAUCUUGCCAAGUUAUCUGCCAACCUUUAUAUACUUGUGAUGGCCAAUCUCAUAUAUUUAAUAUGGGUUUACAAAGUUUUGAUUUAUCUAGAAAACUGGACCGAAAUGAUGUAGGUACCAAACAUUAAUUGUACUCUGAAGCUUCUAUGUCUGCUAGAAGUGCCUUAAAUUUUUGGUGAUCGGUCACUCAGUAAGUGGCAAAAUUUCGAAACUUUGACAAGUUAUAAUUCUUAAACCACUGUUUGUACAAUGCCUGCUCAGUAUCUGAAAAUUCAGGCUUCUUGUUUUAUCCACAACGAAGUUAUAGGCGGCCGAAAUACGCCUUAAUGGCUUCGAGAAAAGAAUGGAAGGCUGUACCGCUUUUUUGUUCAACUUGGCGGGGGCACUACCGUGCCCCAGAUCAUCUCUUUGUAUUUGCUUCUCGGUAAUAAGUUGGUAUGUAUGCAUCAUCAGUAUUAACGUUGUACCUCUGUUGUACAUAAGUACCAUUUUAUUAGUUAGGCCAACUGUCCGCACGUCAUACACACGUUGUCGUCUAUUUACGAUUGCAAAAAGGUUGCUUGCAUCGUGCGUAGCGACAGUCAAAACUGCGUCCACUGAACGACAACGUAGCUUUACUCACACGACGCAUGCAUUCGUCAACUGACGCGCUUUUAAUCAGUUUUGAUUGUUUCUAGGUAAGAGGCAAGCUUAUGCCUUGUAAUCGUCAUGCAAUCGUCAAUUGAUGAAAGUGGACAUAUUAUGUUGUGCGGUUAGGCGGAUAAUGGGCCUUCGGGAGAGACCUACAGUCCGCGACGCGUCAUGCGCGCACAUGACGACAGGCGGAUAUAACGAUGCUGCUUCGUGGACAGUUUUUUAUAGAUUCUAGGCAAGUAUUUGUCAUUUGAGAGCCGUCUAUUGUCAAAUGACAAUGACGCGUCGCAGUCAGUAGACACUUUCAUGAUUUAUAAUUCAGAUUCUCCUGGGUUGUGUAAGCGAAAACGUUUCUUCUACCUUUGGAAAAUCGUUGGUCACUUUUAAAGGAAACCAGGAACAAGUUGCGUUGUAUUUGUUUAAUGUAUAACUUAUUGUUUACUCGAAUGUAUUUUUAACGUUGGAAUCAAGAAAUAAAAACAAGCAUUUAAA